rnacentral:tRNA from 1 species
UUCCUGGUGGCUCAGACGGUAAAGCGUCUGCCUACAAUGCAGGAGACCCGGGUUCAGUCCCUGGGUUGGGAA